AACGCGAAGAACCUUACCCAGGUUUGAAAUGUAGAGGACAGUGUCAGAGAUGACAUCUCCCGCAAGGGUCUCUACACAGGUGCUGCAUGGCUGUCGUCAGCUCGUGCUGUGAGGUGUUGGGUUAAGUCCCGCAACGAGCGCAACCCUUAUCAUUAGUUGCCAUCACGUAAAGGUGGGCACUCUAGUGAGACUGCCCGGGUUAACUGGGAGGAAGGUGAGGAUGACGUCAAGUCAGCAUGGCCCUUAUGUCUGGGGCUACACACGUGCUACAAUGGUCGGCACAAAAGGAAGCAAGACCGCGAGGUGGAGCAAAUCCGAAAAGCCGGCCUCAGUUCAGAUUGCAGUCUGCAACUCGACUGCAUGAAGAUGGAAUUGCUAGUAAUGGCGUGUCAGCAAUAGCGCCGUGAAUACGUUCCCGGGCCUUGUACACACCGGAGUGC
rnacentral:rRNA from 1 species